GCCUUCUUUUUUUUUUUUCCCCCACUUUGUGAUUUUUUUUCCAGAAUAAGCCACCUGUAUCCAGUCCUUUUCUCAGACUCUGCUUUUGGGAGAAACUAAACUAAGACAUCAGUGUUAUAAAGAAUAGAACUGGGAGUUAGAACUUAAGUCUCUGAAUCUCAACUCUGUGAGAGUGGCUGCACCAGCUUGCUUUCUGUACUACAUUUUGAAGAGGUCAGGGAGAUAAGGAGAAAUCAUCAGCAGAGACAGAGAAG
rnacentral:lncRNA from 1 species